CCUACGGGGUGCAGCAGUGAGGAAUAUUGGUCAAUGGCCGGAAGGCUGAACCAGCCAUGCCGCGUGAAGGUCAGUGCCCUAUGGGCGUUAAACUUCUUUUGUGCGGGAGCAAUAAUGGUCACGUGUGGCCAGACGAGAGUACCGUACGAAUAAGCAUCGGCUAACUCCGUGCCAGCAGCCGCGGUAAUACGGGGGAUGCAAGCGUUAUCCGGAUUUAUUGGGUUUAAAGGGUGCGUACGCUGGGAGGUAAGUCAGCGGUGAAAUGCCCCCGCUCAACGGGGUGAAGUGCCAUUGAUACUGCCUUGCUGGAAUGCGGAUGCCGGGGGAGGAAUGUGUGGUGUAGCGGUGAAAGGCAUAGAUAUCACACAGAACACCGAUUGCGAAGGCAUCUCACGAAUCCGCGAUUGACGCUGAUGCACGAAAGCGUGGGUAUCAAACAGGAUUAGAUACCCCUGUAGUC
rnacentral:rRNA from 1 species